GGGGAUGUGGCUCAGUGGGAGAGCUCUUACCUGAGGUGCAUGAGACCCUGGGUUCAAUUCCCCUUCCCCC
rfam:Ictidomys tridecemlineatus contig059207, whole genome shotgun sequence.